rnacentral:sRNA from 1 species
UUUUUUUUUUUUUUUUUUGAGAUACAGUCUUGCUGUGUCACCUAGGCUGGAGUGCAGUGGUGCUAUCUCGGCUCACUUCAGCUUCAACUUCCCAGGCUCUAGCCAUCCUCCCUCCUCAGCCUCCCAAGUAGCUGAGACUGUAGUCCUGUGCCACCAUGCCCAGCUAAUGUUUGUAUUUUGUGUAGAGACCGGGUUUUGCCGUGUUGCCUAGGCUGGUCUGGAACUCCUCAGCUCAAGUGCUCCACCAACCCUCAGCCUCCCAAAAUACUGGGAUUACAGACGAGUGCUGAAAUUAUUCUUAGUUUUUUAGGUUAACUCAUUUGACAUAAGAAGUACGAAUAGAUAGCCAGAGAGCAAACAAAGAUAGCUAGAGCAAUCAUGUGAAAUGGCAACUGUGUGGAUGUUGAAAUAUUGAUCAUUAUUUCUUUGGUUGUUUAUGGUAGAGAAAGGCAUUUGAAGAAGAAAGAGCCAGUUGGUUAAAGCAGCAGUUUUUAAAUAUGACUACCUUUGACCACCAGAACUCAGAAAAUGUGAAACUUUUCAGUGCCUUCUCAGGAAGUUCUGAUCGGGACAAUCUUAUAGUGCACUCGAGGCAACCACAAAAGAAGCCUUACAGUGUGUCUAAUGGGUCUCCAGUUUGCAUGUCUAAACUUACUAAAUCUCUUCCUGCUUCACCUUCCACUUCAGACUUUUGCCAGACACGUUCCUGCAUAUC